rnacentral:rRNA from 1 species
AUGAUCACGGGCACGGACUUCUACCACGUGAUGACGGCGGUGGUGCCGCUGUACGUGGCCAUGAUCCUCGCCUACGGCUCCGUCAAGUGGUGGGGCAUCUUCACGCCGGACCAGUGCUCGGGCAUCAACCGCUUCGUCGCGCUCUUCGCCGUCCCGCUCCUCUCCUUCCACUUCAUCUCCACCAACAACCCCUACACCAUGAACCUGCGCUUCAUCGCCGCCGACACGCUGCAGAAGCUCAUGAUGCUCGCCAUGCUCACCGCCUGGAGCCACCUCUCCCGCCGCGGCAGCCUCGAGUGGACCAUCACCCUCUUCUCCCUCUCCACGCUCCCCAACACGCUCGUCAUGGGCAUCCCGCUGCUCAAGGGCAUGUACGGCGACUUCUCCGGCAGCCUCAUGGUGCAGAUCGUCGUGCUGCAGUGCAUCAUCUGGUACACCCUCAUGCUCUUCAUGUUCGAGUACCGCGGCGCCCGCAUGCUCAUCACUGAGCAGUUCCCCGACACCGCCGGCGCCAUCGCCUCCAUCGUCGUCGACCCCGACGUCGUGUCCCUCGACGGACGGAGCAACGCCAUCGAGACGGAGGCUGAGGUCAAGGAGGACGGCAAGAUUCACGUCACCGUCCGCCGCUCCAGCGCCUCCCGCUCCGACAUCUACUCCAGGCGGUCCAUGGGGUUCUCCAGCACCACGCCGCGCCCCAGCAACCUCACCAACGCCGAGAUCUACUCGCUGCAGUCGUCGCGGAACCCCACGCCCAGGGGCUCCAGCUUCAACCACACCGACUUCUACUCCAUGGUCGGCCGCAGCUCCAACUUCGGCGCCGCCGACGCGUACGGCGUCCGCACCGGCGCCACGCCGCGCCCGUCCAACUACGAGGAGGACGCGCCCAAGCCCAAGCACCCGGCGCCCGGGGCGGGGCACUACCCCGCGCCGAACCCGGCGGUGGCCGCGGCGCCCAAGGGGCCCAAGAAGCCGGCCGCGAACGGGCAGGCCAAGGGCGAGGACCUCCACAUGUUCGUCUGGAGCUCCAGCGCGUCGCCGGUGUCGGACGUAUUCGGCGGCGGCGCACCGGACUACAACGACGCGGCGGCCGCCAAGUCCCCCCGCAAAAUGGACGGAGCCAAGGAGAGGGACGACUACAACGUGGAGCGAGACGACUUCAGCUUCGGGAACAGGGGCGCGCUGGAGCGGGACGCGGAGGCCGGCGACGAGAAGGCCAUGACGGCGGACCCGAACAACAAUGGGAUGGGCGCGGGGCCGACGGCGAUGCCGCCGACGAGCGUGAUGACGCGGCUGAUCCUGAUCAUGGUGUGGCGCAAGCUCAUCCGCAACCCCAACACCUACUCCAGCCUCAUCGGCCUCAUCUGGUCGCUCGUCUGCUUCAGGUGGAACUUCACGAUGCCGGCAAUCGUCCUGGGAUCCAUCUCCAUCCUGUCGGAUGCGGGGCUAGGAAUGGCCAUGUUCAGCCUCGGUCUGUUCAUGGCGCUGCAGCCGCGGAUCAUCGCGUGCGGGAACAAGGUGGCGACGUACGCCAUGGCGGUGCGGUUCCUCGCCGGGCCGGCCGUGAUGACCGCCGCCUCCUUCGCCGUGGGCCUCCGCGGCACGCUCCUGCACGUCGCCAUCGUCCAGGCCGCGCUGCCCCAGGGCAUUGUCCCCUUCGUCUUCGCCAAGGAGUACAGCGUGCACCCCGACAUCCUCAGCACGGCGGUCAUAUUCGGCAUGCUCAUCGCCCUGCCCAUCACGCUCGUCUACUACAUCCUGCUCGGCCUGUGA